rnacentral:lncRNA from 1 species
CUGCACUCUUGAGAUAGCUCUGUCUUGAAAGUGGAAAGCUCAUGAAGAUCUGCGGGAACUGAUGUCAUAUCUGCAGCUGUGUUACAGUAUAUCUGCAUGAACAAUUAAGGAAGAUAUAUGUAUCAUUCAGAAUUGGGUUUCACCAAAAAUUCUUGAAUUGAAUCCAAGCCUAACAUUUGCAAUGACUGAGGAAUGCACUGUUAGUUUUAAGAGUAUUCGAUCACUGAAGAAUUUGCUUUGUGCACACAGUUUCUAUGCCAGAAGUCACUGUGGUUUCUGAAUAUGUCCAGAGAGUUACAUUCCUUGAAGAUGAUUGAUAUUGGAUACAAGGAAGCUGAAGCAUCCAGAAUCACAGAUCAUUUUAAGUUUUGUCCUUAGGAAAUAAGUUUAUUCUUUUAGAUUCUGGGGACAUAGUGCAGCCUCGAAAGACCACUACUAACACUGUGAAUUGCAAAUUAC